CGCUACUCGUCAAAUGUCUGACGCAUGGUCAAGGGAUCUGGCGUCACUUUUUUGACGCACUGGGUAUACCUUUGACGUCUUUUUUCAACGUGGGGGGUAGUCCGAUAGACUUCUAUGGAACUAAACAGCGUUGAAAUUUGACGUCUUGUUUCAGCACACCACAACCCAUUGUCUGCCUCGUAUGGAUCUAGACUACAAUAAAUAAAAAUAAAAAGGAACAGGUUACAAAAAAUGAUCUAUGCCAAGGUGAGUCAAAUGGCGGCCCCCAAAUGGCGGGUUUUUGAUGUUUAAAAAGCCUCGCAAUCUGAUAUCAAAGCGCCCGCAAAGGUUUAGCGCGUUCAUCAGCGGUGAGUUUAACAACGCUCACCUGCAGGGAAAACGGCAUUCAGAGAUGAGUUUGACCAAAGCAACGCUCGACUGCAGGUAAAACAGCAUUAAAAGGUCCUUGAUGAGCUUGAUGAGCUUGUUGAACAUUCUGAAUUAAAUUAUGAACUCCAGAGCUUGGAUGAUUUCAUUAAUAAGAUGUCGGGAGAACAGGAGGCAGCACCAUCCACCAGCCAUCAACCUGUCAGGUGGUUGAAGAGAGACAGUGAUGGAAAUGUUGUCUAUGACAGACCAAGGUCAUCCCGAAACCAAAUGGCUAGUCACAGCUACAGUCGUAAGGCUGGUGCUCAUCCUAGAAUGUUGGACAGCAGCGUUGAGCUAACCAACUACUGUCCUCCUGACACUGUUGAGACUUUCCUUGAAGAGCUAAACCACUCACAGGGUGAUGACUUGGAUGAUCAGGAAACGGCACCAGCACCACCACGGGCCUCUUCAGACUGGUCUACUCGAAAAAGUCUCCUCUCAGAGAGGUGGGAGAAAGAAAGAGCCUGUCUGGUGAAUACCAUGGUAGCACAACAAAAUGUGACAACUCAGAUCUGCCAACAAUGUGGCAUCAGUCCAGCUGCUGUCCGUUGUCGUGACUGCAGACCACAACCAUUUUUCUGUGCUGAUUGUGAUGUCAGUAUACACCGAAACCACGUAUUCCACAACAGGGAUGCAACAAUAGCUGGAUUCUUUCAGCCAUUGCCUCCAACAACCUGUGUCGUGGAGAGGGCUCUUUCCCAGUGUGUGUGUAUUGUGCCGUUGGAGAUGCCCAAAAAAAUAUGUAGUUGUUCUCCAGGAUCGUUGAGUGUCAACACAGGAAAAGUUGUUGCUGUGGUUACAAUGAAUGGACGAUAUGAUCUCAGUAUGCCUGAGAUGAAAUGCGAGGCAUGCAAAACCACAUGGAGCCCUGGAGUGGAUGACUUAGUCCGUAAUGACUACUGGCCUGCUACCCUUCACUUUUCCACAGUGUACUCUACAGAUGUGUUUUAUUCAUAUGAAGAGUUGAAGAUGGCAGCACCAGGACUGUCAUGCCAAGCAUUUUUUUAAGAAUGCUUGAUCAACGAACUCUCCGCUUUGGCCGUAUUGGGAAGAUCACAGCAGACAGCUUCAGAAAAAGUUUUUUGGAGUGGGAGGCUGUUAGAUUUGAGGUGGAUAAGAUCUGCAGGGAGGAGCAUUUUGUCUGCCCUGCAUGCACCCCAGACAUGCUUGCUGUUUCUGUGGAUGGAAAUCGCAAGCACUACCGCUUUAAGAAUGCAGCAAGAUCUGAAGAAAAAGCCUUAUUUGAUGGCAUCUUCAUUGCAAAAGAUGAUGAAGUAGAGAGAUUUGUGGAUUACAUUCAUUCUACCACCAACCAUGUCUCUGGAAGAGGUGUCUGUGGAGGGGAGUGGUCAGCUGCAAGGGAAACGUCUCAGAAAUCCUCAAGUAAAAUUGAUGAGGAGGGACUUGAGCUUGCAGUCUGUCGACAUGGAGUUUUUCUCACCGCUCUCAACAUGUUCAGGGGAGAAAUAUAUGCUUAUCCCCUCUACCUGCAGAACAAGCUGGCAAAUACGCCAAUAAGCUUUUUUGCCAUGGAUGUAACCUGCAAGUACUGGCCUUACCUCAACAAAGUCACAAAAAGCUGCCCGGAGCUCCAGCACCUUCUGAGCAUGAAACCAUUCCUCUCAGUGUUUCAUGCCAAAGCCCAUGAUUUUAAAUGCGAGGUUAAAUGGAGUGGAGCUUACCAGCAAGGGGCCGGAUUGACACUUGGCGAGGAGGUUGAGCAGUGUAACGCCUUCCUCUCUAGGAUUGCUGUGACCACGAAGCACAUGUCCAAAGCAGGACGUACUGACAUGCUUACAUUGAUGGCCAUGCGCUGGAAUCAGCAAAAGUUUAAUAACUUGGCUACUUCACUUGCCUGCCGAUAUCAGAAGGCCACAAAACGUCUGGAAAGCCAACUUCAGGACCUGGAAAGCAUGAGAAUCCAGCUGGCAGUGACACAGGUUGAAGUUGAGGGCUGGGUCACUGAUAUUAAGGAGUGGGCAGAAGCAACAACAUCCCAAAAGAAUGCCGAUCUUGACGCAGUGAUCAAUAGAAUAGAGGUGCUGGUGGCCAGCAUUAAAAGAAGGUCCCAGCGCCUUUACAAAGACACCGAUGGCAGCAAAGGUCGGGCCCGGAUCCGGCGCAAAAUCAGAGAGGAGAAGGCCAUUCUUAGCUCUGUUGUUGAAAAAUACAACAGUAUGGUUCCAGAUACAGAAAGAAUCGCCUUUGACAUCAUUCUCUCUGACGAGACAGUUUGGCCAUGGCAACUUUCACAUGGUGACGCUGUAGAUCUGAAAAUCAAGAGGAAUGCGUUUGAUGUUGUGAUGGCUAUAAGGAGACUUGAGGAGGAGAAGAAGAUUGUUCUUUCUGAGAUGGCAAAGCAUUGGAAAUCUCUCUCCACUCGUGCAGACACACUCAAGGAGAUGUCAUGCCAGCUUUCCAGUGAGCUGUGGGAUCUAAAUGAAGAAGGGAUCAAGGGUUUCCUCAGCUUAACUUUGAGAAAGAAGCAAGAAGUCACCAGAAUGAUGAAGCAUGCAAGAGACUGUUAUGCUAAAGUUUUGACUGGAACAAGUAUGGACUUCCAGAAUGAUUGGGAUGGAUACGACAGUGACUCUGAAUUGUCAGAUGAGUUUUAUGAGCUCUCAAGUGAGAAAUGAGCAUUAAGUCAUUUUUGUUGCAGAGUUUCCUUUUUAUGUUUUAUUUUGUUUAUUUUUUCUCCCACUCUAACAAUGCAGCCCUAUUUCUGAUACCGUAGGGGGUCAGAAAUGUUGCUGUGGGGGGCCACCACGGUCAAAUCAACAUGGAGGAAACACUGUUUGUGUGUCAGAUAUGCUUGAAUAAUAGUAUUCAUCAUAUCUACAUGUGACAUUACAACAAUAAUGAAUGUAAUUAAUUUAAGUAACUGUUUUUCCAAUAGUAAUCUUCUGUUUAUGGUAGAACAAAACUGUGCGGAAAAGUUUGCAGGAAGGUGUAAAUAUGUGCAUUGUAAUAAUAAUAAUAAACAUAAUUCCACUAAUGUCAUCUGCUGUGGCAAAUCUGAGUUUUCUGACAGUUUUACAUUGACACACAAACCCAUUUUUUUUCUGAAGUUGGACUCUUGCAUCAUCUCAUGCUACAAAUGGUCUCUGAAAGCAUCCUUGACAGGACUUUAUCAGCUGCUUCUCAUGUGCAGUGAAAGUACAUAGAGGUUCAACAAAUGCAAAAACUGGCCCAAAACUUGAAAAUGUGACUUAAUUAUAUACACAAUAGUGGUUAUUAUAUACACACAAUUAAAUUUUUCAGAAUUUGGAUGUUUAAUAGGGAAGCCUCACUGAAUUACUUCAAGAUUUGCUUUAAUAACUACAUUUCCUGACUAUAUGAAAAACCUACAGUUGAGUGUUUAAAAAUACAGCCUAAUAGCUCGUUUGACUAAUUUGCAUUUGUUUUAACUUGUACUGUUUGAAAAACAAAAAA
ensembl:lncRNA